rnacentral:rRNA from 1 species
AGAGUUUGAUCCUGGCUCAGGAUGAACGCUAGCUACAGGCUUAACACAUGCAAGUCGAGGGGCAUCGGGGGAGAGCUUCGGCUUUCCCGCCGGCGACCGGCGCACGGGUGAGUAACGCGUAUCCAACCUGCCCAUGGCUGGGGGAUAACCUUGCGAAAGCAAGCCUAAUACCCCAUGGCCUCCCUCCGGGGCAUCCCGGAGGGAGUAAAGGAUUCCCGGCCAUGGAUGGGGAUGCGUCCGAUUAGCUUGCCGGUGGGGUGACGGCCCACCGGGGCGACGAUCGGUAGGGGUUCUGAGAGGAAGGUCCCCCACACUGGAACUGAGACACGGUCCAGACUCCUACGGGAGGCAGCAGUGAGGAAUAUUGGUCAAUGGGCGCGAGCCUGAACCAGCCAAGUAGCGUGCAGGAUGACGGCCCUAUGGGUUGUAAACUGCUUUUGCGCGGGGAUAACUUCCGCCACGUGUGGCGGCUUGCAGGUACCGCGUGAAUAAGGACCGGCUAAUUCCGUGCCAGCAGCCGCGGUAAUACGGAAGGUCCGGGCGUUAUCCGGAUUCAUUGGGUUUAAAGGGAGCGUAGGCCGCGCGUCAAGCGUGCCGUGAAAUGCCGUGGCUCAACCAUGGCACCGCGGCGCGAACUGUCGCGCUUGAGUGGGCUCGAGGCAGGCGGAAUUCGUGGUGUAGCGGUGAAAUGCUUAGAUAUCACGAGGAACCCCGAUUGCGAAGGCAGCCUGCCAGCGCCGCACUGACGCUGAAGCUCGAAGGCGUGGGUAUCGAACAGGAUUAGAUACCCUGGUAGUCCACGCGGUAAACGAUGGACGCUCGCCGUGGGUCCUUCAUGGUUCCGUGGCCAAGCGAAAGCGUUAAGCGUCCCACCUGGGGAGUACGCCGGCAACGGUGAAACUCAAAGGAAUUGACGGGGGCCCG